rnacentral:lncRNA from 1 species
GCGGAGGCGGCGGCGCUGGGACCCCCCUCCCCACUUCCCUCGGGGUUCCUGUGUGUCCGGGGGGUGAGCGAGCUCCCCUGAUUCCUGGUGCGGGCUCGGGCCUGGGGCGCGGCCGCACCCCUCACCCACAGCGGCGCGGGGGCCCAGCCGUGGGGAACGCCCUCCCGGGAUGAAGCGCUUCCCGGUGCGUUCAAGGAAAACAUAUAAUGCAAACAGCCAUAUAAUAAAUGACGACGUCUCAAUGCCAGGAUGUCCUGGGCCAUUACAAGUUGCCAAGCCCUGGGCUGACACCUGGACCACCAGCCCGUUCAUUCAACGCUGACAACUACUCCGGGAUGGGACCCUUAUUUUACAGACCAAGAGACACAAGCACCGAGGAGCAAAUGUACCCUUAUAGCUCUGGCUGGACAGUUGUGAUGGUUUACAUCUGUAGCGUCCGUCCUUUGGGGGCAGAGACAGGAGGAUUAUUAAUUUGAAGCCAGACUGGGUUACCUAGUGAGACCUCAUGUCAAACAACAACACACAAAUGUCAGAUUGACCGCAAGUGGGUGAGCUGAGGAUGUCAGACAUAUUCAUGAUGUCAUUAUUUCUAUCAUAAACCACUAUACCAUGUUACCCACCUCUUUAAAGAACACACAAUAAACCUAUUAAUUAUA